GGGGAAUAUUGGACAAUGGGCGAAAGCCUGAUCCAGCCACGCCGCGUGAGUGAUGAAGGCCUUCGGGUUGUAAAGCUCUGUGGGGAGGGACGAAAAAGGCGGUUAAGACAACGAACCGCCCUUGACGGUACCUCCUUAGCAAGCACCGGCUAACUCUGUGCCAGCAGCCGCGGUAAGACAGAGGGUGCGAACGUUGCUCGGAAUUACUGGGCGUAAAGCGCGUGUAGGCGGGUAAUCAAGUCAAGUGUGAAAUCCCUGGGCUCAACCCAGGAACUGCACUUGAAACUGGUUGCCUCGAGUGUUGGAGAGGGAAGCGGAAUUCCUGGUGUAGAGGUGAAAUUCGUAGAUAUCAGGAGGAACACCGGUGGCGAAGGCGGCUUCCUGGACAAUUACUGACGCUGAGACGCGAAAGCGUGGGGAGCAAAC
rnacentral:rRNA from 1 species